UACGAAGGGUGCAAGCGUUGUUCGGAAUUACUGGGCGUAAAGGGUGCGUAGGCGGACAGAUUAGUUAGGAGUGAAAUCCCGGGGCUUAACCUCGGAACUGCUUCUAAAACGGCCUGUCUAGAGUGUGUCAGGGGAUAAUGGAAUACCCAGUGUAGAGGUUAAAUUCGUAGAUAUUGGGUAGAACACCAGUGGCGAAGGCGAUUAUCUGGGGCAUAACUGACGCUGAGGCACGAAAGCGUGGGGAUCAAAC
rnacentral:rRNA from 1 species